AUUGAACGCUGGCGGCAGGCCUAACACAUGCAAGUCGAGCGAGUGGCGGACGGGUGAGUAAUGUAUGGGAAACUGCCUGAUGGAGGGGGAUAACUACUGGAAACGGUCGCUAAUACCGCCUACUAUCCGAUGUGCCCAGAUGGGAUUUGCUAGUUGGUGGGGUAACGGCUCACCAAGGCGACGAUCCCUAGCUGGUCGGAGAGGGUGACCAGGCACACUGGAACUGAGACACGGCCCAGACUCCUACGGUAGUCAGCAGGGGGGAAUAUUGCAAAAUGGGCGCAAGCCGGAUGCAGCCAUGCCGCGUGUAUGAAGAAGGCGGUCGGGUUGUAAAGUACUUUCAGCGGGGAGGCGUUACCCGCAGAAGAAGCACCGGCUAACUCCGUGCCAGCAGCCGCGGUAAUAC
rnacentral:rRNA from 1 species